UGAAAAUUUCUUUGCUUGUCUACCUUUUUUUAGGUACAAAGACGUAUUGCACAAAAUUGUGAGGCUGCUCGCAAAAGUCGUAUGCGGAAAAAGGUCUAUAUUUAGCAAUUAGAGUUGAGCCAUUCAAAAUUGAUGCAAAUGGAGCAAGAGCUUAAACGAGUGAGAUGACAGGUAUGAUGAUAAUUGACAUAAUUCUCAUUGCCCUUCUAAUCUAUUUUAGAUGUGUUUCCUAAAGAUUGCAUAUUUAAUCAAAAUGCUAAACACAUCCUUGAAUGGUUGAUUCCAGGGUACGCUUGUAAGCAAUGGUAUUGACCCGCUUCCUUUCUCUGCCACUAUAAUUCAGAUUGAGGGAUUAUUGUGGUCAUUGGAUGUUGUCAUCUUCGGCUUGUUUGACGGUGGUGUGGAAGUAGAUUACAAGUUAUGCCUUCAAUUCGCAAUCUCCUAUUUUAAUUCAGAAACUUAUGCUCCAUAUACGAGUAAUUAUUAUUUGUAUAUGACCAAAUUAGAUGCUUUUGCACAUUAUUUAAGUGACUCAUGUUGGGUAUUAAAUUAUUUAUUUCCUUUUCUUUAUUUGUCCGAAAAAAAAGCAAAGGAUCCCAAUGGAGUUUUGUCUUUCGCUAAUAUUGUAUCCUAGAA